rnacentral:snRNA from 1 species
UGAAGCCAAAGAUGGAAA